rnacentral:rRNA from 1 species
UACGUAGGGUGCGAGCGUUAAUCGGAAUUACUGGGCGUAAGGCGUGCGCAGGCGGCUUUGCAAGACAGAGGUGAAAUCCCCGGGCUCAACCUGGGAACUGCCUUUGUGACUGCAAGGCUAGAGUACGGCAGAGGGGGAUGGAAUUCCGCGUGUAGCAGUGAAAUGCGUAGAUAUGCGGAGGAACACCGAUGGCGAAGGCAAUCCCCUGGGCCUGUACUGACGCUCAUGCACGAAAGCGUGGGGAGCAAACAGGAUUAGA